AGCCCUCUGUAUCCGUGCUGAGAUUUCGUCAGAGAUCAACCCACUGGCACUGACUGAUGCAACUUCCCAAAUAAGUGAAGCG
rnacentral:pre_miRNA from 1 species